AAGUUAAUAAAAUUCAGAAAAAAAAUAUAUAUAAAAAAGUUUCAGUAGUGCAAUAUAAGAGUCAAAUCGGUAUGGUAGGGAUGUCUCUUCGAGCCAAGAAAUCAAGAACGCGGCAGGUCAAUUGCGACUCGUGGAUCGCCAGUUCAUCACCUCUGGCCUAUAGUAUUUAGAAACAUGCAACCACUUGCGCCGAUCACUUUCAAAUUGUCAAAUUUAAAAUAAUUAGAAUUAGUAUUGAAUAAAUAGUUUAGUUAGGAUGAGAAAGAAAUGAGUUUGAUAUCAGAGAGGGUCAAGCGAAAAAACAUUGAAUCAGGAAGAACGUAGAUUCGUCUGGCGAGUUUUGUAGUGCGUAAGUAUAUACGCAUCGCGCGGCUGUAGGGGGGAAUCCACUCACUCGUAUAAAACCGUAGAACGAGUCGCGGCUCGAGUCAGUUUCGCUCGCGCCUCGCGUGAGUUUCAGUUCGUGUCGUUGAGAUAACGGCGUGUCGUUUUCGUGCUCGACGGCGAAUUUCGAUUUUGCCUACGUUUCUUCGCGCGUUCGAUCAAUUUUAAAACGCUUGACUCGUUCAAAUUACUUCAACGACUGCAUUUACAUUACUUACCCAAAAGUUACUUGUCAUGUUUCGCGAAAAAAAUCGUGAUCGCGACAAAAUUUUGUGGUCUCCAUCCAUUGCCUUUUUUUGAUACUUCUCGAAGAAUAUUCUAAAUCAUGCUCCAACUUUGUUAGGCAAUAACAACGGUGGAUAUUAAAGAGGGAGAGAGAAGAGGAAGAGGUAAUAACUGGCGGAGAGAAAGAGCAGAAAAAGGGCAGAAGAAGUGCAAGAAUACGUACUACGAAGGAAGAAUUAUCGACUAUCAAGUUUUUUAAUUAACGUCCCUGAGUACGAGCGCGACCGAAGACACGCAGCUUGCAAAUUAACCGCAAAGUUCCAUCGAUAGCCCGAUAGACGUCGGCAUAUUCGUGGGCACGUUUCGCGGAGCGACGAAUUCGUUUUAGAAAAACUUUGCCUGGGAUCAUUUAAUUAAACGAGCGGCGAGUAAAUUCGAGAUAACCUUCGAAGCCGGGGUUCCCACGAUAACCAAGUUUCAACCGGCGAAACGAUAGAUUCGAGAGAAGUUUGAAGGAAGCACUGGAUUGGAAAAGCGAUUAUCGAGCGACCAGCCUAUUAAUUACCGGAAUCGGAGGGGAAAUUUUCACGAGAGUCUAAGGGGGCAGUCGAAAGGAAACGGGCGAGGAACACGUUUAUCGAGAUGGAUGAACGUCCCGUCCCGACGAUUCGACGACAGUGUUAGAAAAUGCGUUCGCACAAAAUGUGUUCGUUUUAAGGAAAAAUUGUCUCGCAUUGUUCUCCGGGCAGAAGAAAAAUAUCGAGGGGAAAUCCUCCUCUUUGAGGAUCGCACGUGCUGUGAACGUGGUGUGAGAAAGAAGCUCUAUAUAUAUAUAUAUAUAUAUAAGUGGGUGUUGGUAGCGGUAUAUUUCAAAAAUCGAGGAAGAGAGGGAAACACGUUGAACCAAGUUAUUAGCGAACGACGUCGUGUUUCUAGUGCCGGUGUGGAAGAGUGUGUUAAUCAACAGCAGCAUCGUCGGUGGGGUAUAAUGGCGGUUCGCUGAGAGAAGAAACGUACGAAGGGAAGGUCACGACGUUCGUUCACGAGACGGCCUGGUAUGACGUGACGAGAGGAAACCGCUUUGGUGCACUUCCAUCGCGAGUAUUCCAGAAAAGAAAUCUACCAUGAGAGCGUCUCGAGUAGCUGCCCUGUUGAUCCUCUGUUACGCCAUCGGUGAGUCGAGUCGCAACGAC